UAUAACUUCAUUUUCAGUUUUUUGGUACAAUGUUUUGACUCUUUGUCUUAUUUGAAAUUUUUGCGAUUGAUAUUUUUAUUGUUACUAGAUGAUAAAAUAUGAAUAUUACUUUAUGCAUGACUAAUUUUUUUAAGUUUUUGUACAAAUUUUUCAAAUAAAACGAAUGGUUAAACGUUGGAUACGGAAAAAC
rnacentral:pre_miRNA from 1 species